CCACUCACACAAAAACACAUAAGAGAAACAAAACGUGCACUCUUACAAUCAUCUAUAAUAGAAUCACUAUAAAGUGAACUUUGUCAUAUGGUCUAAUAAAUACUGUAUGAAUAGUAAUUAAUUAACAGUAGAUCAUCAUCCAUCAAUAGUAGAUCAUCAGUAAUUUCUUGUCAAUUGUCAUGUGACUUCUUUUAUAACAUUCGCAUUAAUAAUGUGAAUUAAGUCCAAAUAAAUGUAAUUAGUCUGUAAACAGUAGUGGUGAUAUUUGGCUCCGCUAAAAUACUCUUAUGUGAAUAUUCACCAAAAUAAGCUUUUUCUUGCCUAUACAUUCACCAGAUGAACAGUUUUGGCCACAGAGAAACACAGAAGAUUCUAUGAAACAAUUAUCGGCACCAAAUAAUCGGUAAAACCGAUAUAUCGGUCAACCUUUACUAUAAAGCAAACAAUGUCAUAUAGGCUAAUAAAUACUGUAUGAGCAGUAAUUCUUUAAAAGAAGGUAAUCAGCAAUAGUUUGUCAUGAUUGUUAUUUUGUAUUUAUAUAAAAACAAAAACAAACAUUUCCUUUUUUAACUGUGGACAACAUCAGUCAAAAUCAAGAAAAUUACCAUGAAAUUAUGAAAACAUUCACCAAAUUAAGCUUUUUGUAGCUUAUACAUUCACCAGAUGAAGGGUUUUGGCCACAGAGGAAUCAAGAAAAAAAAUUACUGGCACCGAUUAAUCUGUAAAACCGAUAUAUCGGUUUUAUAUCGGUUAACCUCUACUAUAAAGUGAACAUUAUCACAUAGGCUAUUAAAUACUGUAUGAUCAGUAAUUCAUUAAAAGUAGAUAAUCAGCAAUAUUAUAUAAAAACAAACCUUUUUCUCUGUGGACAAUAUCAGUCAAAAUCAAGACAAAUCCCACUUAUGAUUAACUUAUGUCUGCUCCACAAUAAAACCACUUUGGAGCACUCGUUUUUUAUAACAUUACUUUAACAAAUUGGACCCCUCAUUGGACAGAGUGUUCCUCCACUACACGGAGUGGUGGUGGCAUGGUGGACUAAAGCACUGAACUGAUAAGCAGAAGGUUGUUGGUUCAAUCCCCACAGCCACCACCAUUGUGUCCUUGAGCAAGGCACUUAACUCCAGGUUGCUCCAGGGGGACUAUCCCUGUAAUAAGGGCACUAUUAGUCACUUUGGAUAAAAGCAUCUGCCAAAUGCAUAAAUGUAAACACAGAGAAAAAACUAUCAGCAACUAUAGGUGUUGAUUCAUUCUGAUAACCUAUAGUUCAAAAAAGCAACUAUCAUUUAAAAUAAGAGUCCCUGGUGUGUUUCAGACAUGUUUAUACCUAAAAGUCCCGUGUUAUGCACCAGAUCUUAAUUUUUUAUGGUUUUUAUUGGGAUUUUGGUUGAACAAAAAACUGCAUCUGGGAUUUUAGUCAUUUUGGACUCUUUGUCUUUGCCUGCCAUAGUAAAGAAAAAAUUAUUAUUUGUUUUGACAAAAAACUAAUAGUUAUCGGCAUUUUCCACCACCUUUGUUAUCGGUAUCGGCAAGUUCCACUAUCGGUCUACAUCUAAUGUGAAUAUUUACAUAUAUAUACAGGCAAAUGACCUUUAUUAAGGUUAAUUCAAUUUUGCCUAUAUAUAGUGGCUAAUGGACAUUAAUUAGACCUUUGAUUAUUGUAGUGGCUAAUGGCCUUCAUUAAGGCUUAAAACUGUAGAAUGUCUAUGUGAAGUGUCUAAUGCACAUUAAAAAGGGUUAAAGCUAGGCUUAAAACUUAUCCCAGGUUACGUGUUAUGUAAAAGCCUUUUCAAUAUUUACAGUUCAAUAAUUUUGGUGUAUUUUGCUUUUAAAAAUACAUCAAGGUAAAACCAGCGAUCUUCGACCUGCUGCUCCCUGUAUGUAUCGCAUCUUAUCUUGGAGUGCUGUAUCACACUGUACAGAAUUUUGGACUUCUGUACAGUUUCCUGUGCAGAGUCACUGCACCUCGGGUCAAACAACACUAACGUAUGACUUCUGUCUCUUCUAACACCUGCAAUAUGAGGGGUCUCAGGGGUCCCACAGCAGAGCCAAGAGUGUGUUUGGAUUCUUUAUAUAAUGUUUGUUUGUGUGUUUGUUUGAUUACUUUUCUGAGAAUGAAAGUCAAUUAUCAUGCCAAGCGUUUCAUCCACUGCAUCCUUUCGAGUCUUCCCGGUCACAACACUUCCUCAUUCCCACUGUGUCCUGCGUCAUUAAAGCAGCUGUUCACCCAAAAAUGACAAUUCUGCCAUUUACUCCAUUUACACCAUUCCUCAUGUCAUUCAGAUUUGGAACGACUUAAAAAAGAUGACAUUUUUGGGUGAACUACGCCUUUAAAAAAUACAAUGCGUAAUUGUUCAAAUGGCGUCACUUAGUCGAACACUGAAUGUAAGAACUGGCUAAGUGUCGAGCUUUACGGUUGUCCAGUGGGUUUUUCGAUGCUAUCAUUAACUUCCAAAAUCAAUUACGGAUUGUGCUUUUAAGCAGUGUUUCCUGAAAGCAUUGGGUAUCUUCACUGGCAGCUACUACAGAGUGGGCCAAAUCAUGCUGUGGGUUGAGUCGAAGUGUUCAUAAGUCUGUUGACGCGAGUUUCAACUCAUUUUGAUGCAAAACCAGAACUGCUGAUUCUCUUUAAAGCGAGUAUUAAAUGUUGAUAAUGUGACGCAUGGAGAAUGGCAUUUCAUGUUUUUCUUAACUUUAUCUUGAUAUUAGAAAGCCUCUGAGACGAUUCGAAUAACGUUUUUCUUUGGUCUGUUUGCAGAUUCUUUUUAUCCUAAUUUUUUUUUCUCUCUUGUAUAAUAUGAAUGAACUAUUCUUGAGUGCAGUUCUUCUACAGAUGUUUUAUAACUCGAUUUCUAUCGUAUAACGAUUUCUUUACGAAUGCUAAUUCCAUCUGAAGUCCAGUUCUGCUUUAGCCAUUUAUCUGAAAGCGGUAUGGUACAAAUGUGCUGUUAUUUAUGGAAGCUAAUAACACUUCAAUUUGCACUGAUUUAAAAUCUUUUGCUCUCCAAAUGUAACUUUUCGAACUGCACAAACCAGAGGUACACAAACUUGAAUUUUGGGGCAAAAGACAAAUAAAGCCAUUUGUUGAAAUAAGUAAAUAUUGCAGUUGUUUUAUUUGAACAGGUUUUAUUGAAUGGAAAAACAUGAUUCAGCACAGUUGGUUCAGUUCACUAAUUCAGUUGGAAUUAUUAAAAUUGUUCCAUUACAAAAGAUAUAAUGCCUUUUACACUCCUAGUGGUCAGACCGAAAUCAACAGCAAAAAAACAAAAAAAAUAUUUGAAAGGAUAAAUGGUCCAAGAUAAUUGUCAAAAUAACCUUUUGCCCAUGUUAAAAGUUGUCUGUAUAAAUCCCCCGGCUACCACAUUUGUUUUUUAAAUAUUUUAUACAGAACAAUAGAAACAAUAAUAAGAAAUUACAGUGCAAUUUUAAUUAAAUAACAUUGGGAUAACCCCAGAUCUAUUACAACAUACCCCACACAAUUUCUCUGGAUAUUUCAAACUCAAAUAUUUUUGUUUAUAUUAUAAUAUUAUAACCAGCAGUUCAAUAUUUUUGGCACGUUCCUAAAGUAUUAACACUCGGAAUAUUUUUAGUGCAAUACACAUAUUUCCACUCUUCACACUUAAAGGAAUAUUCCGGUUUCAAUACAAGUCGAGUUAAUCAACAGCAUUUUUGACGUAAUGUUGAGACCACAAAAAUCGUUUUAGCUCGUCCCUCGUUUUCUUCAAAAAAAUCUAAAAUCGAGGUUACAGUGGGACACUUACAAUGGAAGUCAAUGGGGUAAUUUUUGGAGGGUUUAAAGGCAGAAAUGUGAAGCGUAUAAUUU